AUGUUUGCAUGGCUUCUCCUCCAAGUCAGACUUUGGUGCAACGAUCGCCUGCAGCGGCGCGGGUGGCCAAACGGUUACUUCUGUGCUCUCUGUCACAGAAAUCUUGAAUGCUCUACGCACCUAUUCUGGGAUUGCCCGCUUGCACGGUCGGUUUGGGAGGCGGCAUCCUUCUGGAAUGCAUGUGCAGCCCUGCAGCUUGCCAGAACAACGAGCCACUCAUCGCUGAGGCACUGGAAAAAAACAGUCCAACUAGCACCAUCAAACUCCAGGAAAGGGCUGAAGACGAUGAUGAUGCUGAUAGCCUCGGAGAUAUGGAAGGAGAGAAAUGCAUGUGUUUUCAACAGCAAGAUGCCCCAUGCUGAAGACGUGCUGCACACCAUCAGGAACACGAUCGAGCUAUGGAGAAUGGCGGGUGCAACAAGCCUAGAGCCCCCCUUUGGGGAGUAUGUUGCGAGAGAUUAG
rnacentral:rRNA from 1 species